AGGCGUCAAUUCACCCGCACCUCUUUCCUACUCCAGUAGACAAAACUCGCUCAAUCAAAACCGUCGCGGGUAAUUUUAACGAUCCUAAUUUAAAUCCAUAACUAAAUUUAUUGGUGUUGUCUCUUAAACACGGAUUUAUUCAUAGACGCGUUUUUAUAGGUGUGACUGUGCUUAUUGUUCCGAAGACUUGCAAAACGAAGGAAAGGCGAAAGCAGUUUAACCCCUCGAUCAUAUUUCGGUACACCUUAUUCAGAGGCCCUGUGUCGCUCCAGUGAAUUUGUCCAUCUUAUAUUCAUCGUCAUUGGUUUUCUUCGACGUUCCUUCUUUAGAGUUGCUGUAUGGUUCCUGUAAACUUCACUUCUUACUCUCACGGUUUUCUUCUUAUACACUUAGGGUCACCAGGUGUAGCAGAUGUACCAGGUGUAUUGUGGAUUACAGUUUCAUCAUUUUGUGAAUAUAAACGGCAAG